rnacentral:rRNA from 1 species
UACGUAGGGGGCAAGCGUUGUCCGGAUUUAUUGGGCGUAAAGAGCGUGUAGGCGGCUAGACAGGUCCGCUGUGAAAACUCGAGGCUCAACCUCGAGACGCCGAUGGAAACCAUCUGGCUAGAGUCCGGAAGAGGAGAGUGGAAUUCCUGGUGUAGCGGUGAAAUGCGCAGAUAUCAGGAAGAACACCCGUGGCUAAGGCGGCUCUCUAGUACGGUACUGACGCUGAGACGCGAAAGCGUGGGGAGCGAACAGG